GCCGAGGUAGCUCAGUUCGGUAGAGCACUUGACUGAAAAUCAAGGUGUCCCCAGUUCAAAUCUGGGCCUCGGCACCA
rnacentral:tRNA from 1 species